rnacentral:rRNA from 1 species
UUGCAUUCAAUAAGCGGAGGAAAAGAAACCAACAGGGAUUGCCUUAGUAGCGGCGAGUGAAGCGGCAAAAGCUCAAAUUUGAAAUCUGGCACCUUCGGUGUCCGAGUUGUAAUUUGAAGAUUGUAACCUUGGGGUUGGCUCUUGUCUAUGUUUCUUGGAACAGGACGUCACAGAGGGUGAGAAUCCCGUGCGAUGAGAUGCCCAAUCCUAUGUAAGGUGCUUUCGAAGAGUCGAGUUGUUUGGGAAUGCAGCUCUAAGUGGGUGGUAAAUUCCAUCUAAAGCUAAAUAUUGGCGAGAGACCGAUAGCGAACAAGUACAGUGAUGGAAAGAUGAAAAGAACUUUGAAAAGAGAGUGAAAAAGUACGUGAAAUUGUUGAAAGGGAAGGGUUUGAGAUCAGACUCGAUAUUUUGUGAGCCUUGCCUUCGUGGCGGGGUGACCCGCAGCUUAUCGGGCCAGCAUCGGUUUGGGCGGUAGGAUAAUGGCGUAGGAAUGUGACUUUGCUUCGGUGAAGUGUUAUAGCCUGCGUUGAUGCUGCCUGCCUAGACCGAGGACUGCGAUUUUAUCAAGGAUGCUGGCAUAAUGAUCCCAAACCGCCCGUCUUGAACCCGGGACCAA